rfam:Schistosoma haematobium scaffold459_9, whole genome shotgun sequence.
AGCUUUUCGAAUCCGUGCCGAGAUUUCGUCAGACACCAACCUACUAGGGUUGCUCAGACUUCCAAGAUAAGUGAAGUU